AGUAACGCGUGAGGAACCUGCCUCAGAGAGGGGGAUAACACACCGAAAGGUGUGCUAAUACCGCAUAACAUAUGAGAGGGGCAUCCCUUUUAUAUCAAAGAUUUAUUGCUCUGAGAUGGCCUCGCGUCCAAUUAGCUAGUUGGUGAGGUAACGGCCCACCAAGGCGACGAUUGGUAGCCGGACUGAGAGGUUGAACGGCCACAUUGGGACUGAGACACGGCCCAGACUCCUACGGGAGGCAGCAG
rnacentral:rRNA from 1 species